UACGUAGGCAGCGAGCGUUGUUCGGAAUUACUGGGUGUAAAGGGUUCGUAGGCGGUGCGGCAAGUCGGGAGUGAAAUCUCUGGGCUUAACCCAGAGGCUGCUUCCGAAACUGCUGUGCUUGAGUGUGGGAGAGGCGCGUGGAAUUGCAGGUGUAGCGGUGAAAUGCGUAGAUAUCUGCAGGAACACCCGUGGCGAAAGCGGCGCGCUGGACCACUACUGACGCUGAGUGAACGAAAGCUAGGGGAGCAAACAGG
rnacentral:rRNA from 1 species